AGCGAACAUUGGCGGUAGGCUUAACACAUGUAAGUCGAGCGAGGCGUAAUAGUCGAGCGGCGAACGGGUGAGUAAUACAUGGAAAUCUACCCUGAAGUGGGGGAUAACGUCCAGAAAUGGACGCUAAUACCGCAUAAUCCAUAUUGGGAAAGCGUUGCAGCGCUUUAGGAUGAGUCCAUGGCUGAUUAGCUUGUUGGUGAGGUAACGGCUCACCAAGGCGACGAUCAGUAGCUGGUCUGAGAGGAUGACCAGCCACACUGGAACUGGGACACGGUCCAGACUCCUACGGGAGGCAGCAGUGGGGAAUCUUGCGCAAUGGGGGCAACCCUGACGCAGCCAUACCGCGUGAGUGAUGAAGGUCUUCGGAUUGUAAAGCUCUUUCGGCGGGGACGACAAUGACGGUACCCGCAAAAGAAGUCACGGCUAACUUCGUGCCAGCAGCCGCCGUAA
rnacentral:rRNA from 1 species